CAGAGGAUCUGCACCUCAUUGAGCAGU
rnacentral:misc_RNA from 1 species